AUGGCAAUCCACUCCAGUGUUCUUGCCUGGAGAAUCCCAGGGACGGGGGAGCCUGGUGGGCUGCUGUCUAUGGGGUUACAUAGAGUCAGACACAACUGAAGCGACUUAGCAGCAGCAGCAGUAAGUUCUUAUCUCUUUGGUCAUUGGAAAAUUUCCUUCUUGGGGGAAGGGAGUUCAUUUUUUGUUUCAAAAUGACUACAAAAACUGAGUCAUAAAUUACAGUAAAGAGAAUAAAAACUGCUUUAUCCAGUCUGGUAUUUAAAAAGCAUUACUGUUGAUGCUUAAAAAGAAAUACUGUCUUAUUUCACAAGAAUAACUUGUGAAAAUGGCAGAACAUUCUCCUCCAACAUUUAUUUCUAGUUUUCCUAUGCUAUCAAAGCAGAAAAUAUAACAGGCUCUGCUUGGAACCAGAACAGAUAAGUGCUUGUUGAGUGAAUUUAUGACCAUAAUUGUUAUGUCACUCCUGGCUAGACCAGAGUAACCUAAGAGAUCAUGUGUCUUUAGAGUAAUGCUCCUAAAUGGUCCCCUUAAUCAUUGUCUGUGGAACAUGCUCUUUCUUCAGUGAUGCUUGUCCCGUCCCCUUUUCUGUCAGUGUUAAACCUUUGAGAGAUAGCUUCUCUAGUCCACGGACAUGGAACCGAGGAAAAGUAACACUUUGUUGGCACUUUGUAAACUUGGGGUGGACAGAUAAUAAAUGGCAGAUAGUAAAUAUUUUAGAUAUUGCAGGCCAAAUGUAGUGUCUGUUGCAUAUACUUAUGUAUGUAUGUCAUGGCCAUACUCAGAUAGGCUACAGACUAGGUUUGGCCUGCUUGCCAGAGUUGGCCAAUCCCUGGUCUAAAUCAGCAAGCUGAACUCCACGGACUUGGGCUUAUGAUACAUUUCUAAACUCAGCCACUAACUGCUAUCUGUAGCUGCUAUUCCUAAUACCUGGUUGCUUCCUUGCCUUGCAGACAUUGGUCUCUCUCUGGGACUCUGUUCACCUUAAAUAGCAUUCUCUACUCUUAUAGUCCUUAUGCUUCAGGACAGAAGAUUGAAUGGAUGUCCUCUUUGGCAUGUUUAUUUGAUAGGGUGUGAUUUUAUUCUUGAUCCCAAAAUGAUUUUAGAUUCACAUUAAAAUCAAGAGGAAAGUAAGAGAUUUCCCAUGUACUCCCUAGCCCCACAUGCAUAGCCUCCGCCUUACCAACAUCCACCACCAGAUGGUACACGUGUUGUAACUGAUGAACCUACAUUGACAUCCAGCAUGUUUGGAAUGAAAUCCACGUUCUGUACCAUGGCCAGACUAAACAACUACCAUGGCCAGAGAGGCCUGAGGUGCUGUGAUUGCCGCCGUCCUCUCCACAUGCCCUAGGCUGGCCUCAUUUCAGACUCACUGUCUGCCUGUCCUUCCUUAGGGUGGCCAAGCCAUGUCCCAGGUGGGGACAGCUUGGUGCUGGCCCCCCGAUGACCGUGUGUGUCCUCUGAGGCCAGGCUGGCUCAUGGCGUUCCUGAGCCUCAGAAGAGUGCUGUGUGGUCUUCUAGAACAGGAGGGCAUGGGGUACUGUGUGGAGCUCCCACAGGGCACUGCAUGUUUGCCCCCCUAUUUUCUGGGGAGUAAGUCACCACCCCAGGUCUGAUCAACUGUGAGACUCCCUUCUCAGUCCUCUGUGGCUACAGGCUGUGAAACGGCUUUACUGCACCGUGGUCCUGGCUUCUCAGCAACAGGGUGCCCCCGCCUUAUGCAGUGUUACUGCAUCAUGUGCCCCUUUUCUUCCUGUGCCUUCCCUUUGGGGCAAGACUCCCGAGGAGCUGGCACCUCUGUUUGUCUUUCCUUGGGUACCUCUGUAAGGGGUGAACUGUCUUAAACUCUAGCACAGACUUGUUUCCCCCCUGGCUGGAUCUUGCUGCCAUGCCUUGUUCAGGACUCUGCUUCCUGCCCUGCCAUUUCCCUGGGUUAAGGAGUCUACCCUAUCCUUGCUGCCCUUGGUGUAUCUGUCACAGCUCCCGGUUUAGGUCACUAGCUAAACACACAGUGACAAUGAUUUAUGAUCUAGGUUUGUUUGUUGUAAUUUGGGAGGCUGAGAAGACAAAUGCGCAUGUUCAGUUUGGACAGAAGAAUGAAUGCAUCCUAUUAGACCCUGAAUUCAGGCUUAAAAGUUGGGGCUUCAGGGGGGAUGUUUUCUUCACUGAUCACUAACCCUCUUAGGUUUGAAUUAGAGUCCCUCAUUUAGUUUUUAUUACCUCUGGGUAGGAAAAUACUGUUACAUUCUUUUGUAUAUCCAAGCCUUAUUCAUCAGAGAAUCUUUUUCUGGGUUACAUUCUGAUUUUUCUUAAUUUUUUUUUUCUUUAAAACAGUUUGAAAGUCUGUGUAGAUUAUUUUCAUUGAUUUUCUCUUACUAACACACCUAUUUAAUCUUUUCUAAAAUGCCAUAUGUUAACCUAUGUUGGCCUUAAAAUAUGUUCAGACCCUGCUUAAAAACCCAGACCAUUGCAGAAUCUUAAGAACUCAAGGCUGUUUGAAUGUUACAGAUACAGAUCUGAAGAAAUUCAGUUUCAAAUGGGCUUUCUUCAGAUGUGGAGGAAACACUGCAGCCCAAAAUAACAGUACUUCCUCUCAACUGUAUUGAUAUGUAAAAUAGCACCUUUGGGCUGACAUAAAAGGAAAGAAAAUUGGUUUCUGUCUUUCUUAAUUAAAAUGUAAGUCCUGCACAAUUAUAUGACAACUACAAUAAUGACAAUGUUAAGUUUGAAGAGCUCUGCUUUGUUCCAAAAUAUUAAUUGGCAUGAAAGGAAAGGUGAACUGUGUCAGGCAAAUGAAACACUCCCCCACCUCACCUCCAUGACAGUUAGAAUAUGUUAGUGAUGCCAUUGCUCGAAUGGGCUAGUUUUCCAGCCAAAAUACAUAGAUGGUUCAGGGACCUUUUGCAAAACAGAUUAACUAUGCAGCUGUCUCUCUGGGACAGCAGCUCUGUAAUCCCAUGAACAGCAGCUCAGGAUGAGAUUUAAUCCUGCAUUUAGAAGACUCCUUUACUGUGUACACCUGUCUUCCCUCAGUUUCUCCAUUGUUUUAUAUCCCAAAUUGAUGGGAACAUUUUUGUUUCAUUUGUACUUAAGCUUAAUUGCCUUUUGGGCUUCACUUUUUAAAAAAAAUAUGGAUUGCAUUUCUUUACAACUUAAUACUUGAGCUUAUACAAUAAAAGUGACAGAUCUUUAAAAAAAAAAUUAACAGUAUAAAUGGCAAUGGUAAUACCACAGAGUCAUGAUUAUAAAAAGCCAAGGUUUUAGUAGAACUAUCAAUUUAUUCUUCAAUUUAAGUCCUUUGUUUCAAUUCCAUUUUAUUUCUUACAUAAGCAGGUAAACAUGCUUCAAAAAACUGAAGAGCAUUCCAGACAGCAGUUUUUCUUUUUGAAGGGUAUAUCCAGUCCACAGAAGUAUUUUCACAAAGCCACACCCAGUCACUGAAAGGUCAGAGACCAUCGCCACACAGUAUGAAAGAACACAGUCAACACUAGGUUUUAAAUACAUGGUUAUUUCAGUUGUUUGAACCUUCAGCAGCUAUUAUGGGAAAACUCUUUAAGGAUUUAAAUUCGAGAGUUCAGGGUUUAAAAAAGAAUAGCAGAAUAAUGCUGACUUUUAAUCUGUUAAGAGAGCUCUAUAUUUUCUCAUUUCAAGAAAGUCAAAGCCUAUUCAAGUUAAUUUUGAGAAUGUAUGUGUGGUUUUAAAACACCAUGUCCUCUUUUACCAUUAAUACAGUAAUGCUUAUCUUUAUUUUUCAUUCUAGUGUUCAGUGUGCCCCUAAAUAAACCAGGCCUCAUGUGAGCCAAUCAUCUUCCACUGUGCUAUGAGCCAUACACUUACCUAUCUUUCUAAAGUUUGGGCAGAAUUUAAAUGAUAUUUUUGGUGUAAAUAAUCCUUUCCUUACAGAGCAGAGGACAGAGAGAUCAACAGUUCUUUGUUUGCUCGUGACGACUUUGUUCCCUCAGGAACUUGUGAAACUGUUGCCGUUGCUAAACCUCAGUAGACAUGGAUUAAAACUGUUUAGGAAAGUUAUCAGAUGAAAUGAAUCACGUUUAGUCCCUUGGGUGAAGUGCCAUGGUUAAGUCACCCAAAGCUUCAUUAUCCAUGAAUGUGUAUGUCUUAAACCUUGAAGAUGGAAAUUAAAAAGUUAAUACAAAGUCCAGUUUAAGGUUCAUAUAUUUUUAAUUACACCACUGUGUUUUUAUUUGUGCAGAAAUUUUGGUCCAGUUUAGUUGCCUCAAGUUUUUUGUUUUUUUUUCCUGUGCCUUCAUUCAACAAGUUUUAAGAAAAAUGAGCUUUAAAAAACCUCUUGUUUGCUGCCCGACUGAACACUUGGACGUUUUUCUCAUGUAUAUACAGGAACACACACACACCCCAUGCACACACAAAGUUGAUGCUGUUGACCUUUGCUGUAUUUCUAAGAACUGGGACUAUUUGGACUCAGUGUCAGCCACUACGAAUAUCAUAUCAUCCUUCUCGUCAGUAAGAGGUUAUUUCUCUUUCCUCUUUCCUACGGUAACCUGUGAGGAGCAAGCACACUGACAGUUACAAAGCACAUCAGUGUGAUCCCAGAUUUGUGCAAUGUGGAACCCAUGCUUUGGUUCUAUGGCCAUCAUGGUUGCCUUUUCACAAUAAUAACAACAGCUAGCAAAAAUAAAUCACCUUGUUUCAUGUAAGACAUCUCUCUUUGACAGGCCACUAUAUUUAUAAUCAUUAAUCUAGCUCACUGCAGUAGUCACGCUUCAGGUUUACAUGAAUAUGCAAAGAAUACAAUAAUCAACUCAUCUGUCAAACCUCAACAACUCAAUUAAUUACUUAUCACAGAAUGUUGAAUGUUUUUGCUUCCCAGUUGAGCAAGGGAAAUACUGUCAGCUCUUUAAAAUACAGGCUAAAUGCUUGGUCAUAACUACUCAUCUGUCAAGUUGACACCUCAUGUGGAUUUAAGAAAGUACAUUUGACUUAAAAAAUUUUUAUUUCCCCUAUUAUAAGUGCUUCAUAGUAGCAAAUAAGUUAAUUUCAAAACUUUGUCAUGGGUAGAUUGCUUUAUAGUUUUUUUACCCUUUAAAAAAUAGUAACUUUAUCUCUUAUUAAGAUACUUCAUUUGAUUAGUGCUUUGUAAAGUAACAUUUGUGAUACUUUGAAUAAAAGAAUGAAGUGCUGUUUUGAAAGAUUCAACUUUUAAAACAGGCUUUGUCUCUAAUUUUAGGGCUGCUCUGUCCAAUACAGUGGAUUUGAAUUGAGAUUCCCUGUAAGGAUGAAAUGCAUACUGGAUUUGAAAGACUUGGUUCAUAAAAGGAGAUGUAAAAUAACUCAAUUAUUUUUUAUAAUGAUGACAUUGAAGUGAUAACGGGUAUAUAAUGCUAAAUAAAACAUUAUCGAAAUUCA